rnacentral:snRNA from 1 species
AUGCUCGCUUCAGCAGUACAUAUACAAAAAUUAAAACAAUACAAAGAAGAUUAGGAUGGCCCCUGCGCAAUGAUGACACCCAAAUUCAUGAAGCAUUCCAUAUUUUU